rnacentral:rRNA from 1 species
GGAUUAGAUACCCUGGUAGUCCACGCUGUAAACGAUGUCAACUAGCCGUAGGAGUCCUUGAGGCUUUUGUGGCGUAGCUAACGCGCUAAGUUGACCGCCUGGGGAGUACGGCCGCAAGGUUAAAACUCAAAUGAAUUGACGGGGGCCCGCACAAGCGGUGGAGCAUGUGGUUUAAUUCGAAGCAACGCGAAGAACCUUACCUACUCUUGACAUCCAGAAAACUUAGCAGAGAUGCUUUGGUGCCUUCGGGAAUCCUGAGACAGGUGCUGCAUGGCCGUCGUCAGCUCGUGCCG